UGAUUAGCCUAAACCAUAUCAUAAAGGGG
rnacentral:piRNA from 1 species